rnacentral:rRNA from 1 species
AUUGAACGCUAGCGGGAUGCUUUACACAUGCAAGUCGAACGAGUGGCGGACUGGUGAGUAAUAUAUUGGAACGUGCCCAAUGGCGGGGGAUAACUACUCGAAAGUGUGGCUAAUACCGCUUACUAUCGGAGCGGCUGAUAUCGGAUUAGCUAGUUGGUGGGGUAAAGGCUCACCACGGGAACGAUCCGUAGCUGGUCUGAGAGGACGACAAUCCACACUGGGAUUGAGACACGGCCCAGAACACUACGGGAGGCAGCAGUGGGGAAUAUUGGACAAUGGGGGAAACCCUGAGCCAGCCAUCCCGCGUGUAUGAGAAGGCCUUCGGGUGGUAAAGUACUUUUGGCAGGGAAGCGGUAUCUGCAGAAUAAGCACCGGCUAACUACGUGCCAGCAGCCGCGGUAAUAC